rnacentral:rRNA from 1 species
UGGGGAAUCUUCCGCAAUGGACGAAAGUCUGACGGAGCAACGCCGCGUGAGUGAAGAAGGUUUUCGGAUCGUAAAACUCUGUCUUUUGGGGCGAACGUGAGUAUGGUGAACAAUCAUAGUCAGUGACGGUACCAAAGGAGGAAGCCACGGCUAACUACGUGCCAGCAGCCGCGGUAAUACGUAGGUGGCAAGCGUUGUCCGGAAUUAUUGGGCGUAAAGAGCGCGUAGGCGGGAUAGUCAGUCUGUUGUAAAGUGCGGGGCUCAACCCCGUGAUCGCAAUGGAAACAGCUAUUCUUGAGUGCAGGAGAGGAAAGUGGAAUUCCCAGUGUAGCGGUGAAAUGCGUAGAUAUUGGGAGGAACACCAGUGGCGAAGGCGACUUUCUGGACUGUGUCUGACGCUGAGGCGCGAAAGCCAGGGGGAGCGAACGGGAUUAGAUACCCCCGGUAGUCCUGGCCGUAAAACGAUGGGUACUAGGUGUGGGAGGUAUCGACCCCCUUCCGUGCCGGAGUUAACGCAAUAAGUACCCCGCCUGGGGAGUACGGUCGCAAGACUGAAACUCAAAUGAAUUGACGGGGGUCAUAGCUGUUUCCU